rnacentral:rRNA from 1 species
GAUGAACACUGGCGGCGUGCCUAAUACAUGCAAGUCGAGCGAAUCAACAGGAGCUUGCUCCUGUUGGUUAGCGGCGGACGGGUGAGUAACACGUGGGCAACCUGCCUGUAAGACUGGGAUAACACCGGGAAACCGGUGCUAAUACCGGAUAAUCCUUUUCCUCUCAUGAGGAAAAGCUGAAAGUCGGUUUCGGCUGACACUUACAGAUGGGCCCGCGGCGCAUUAGCUAGUUGGUGAGGUAACGGCUCACCAAGGCGACGAUGCGUAGCCGACCUGAGAGGGUUGUCGGCCACACUGGGACUGAGACACGGCCCAGACUCCUACGGGAGGCAGCAGUAGGGAAUCUUCCACAAUGGACGAAAGUCUGAUGGAGCAACGCCGCGUGAGCGAUGAAGGCCUUCGGGUCGUAAAGCUCUGUUGUUAGGGAAGAACAAGUACCGGAGUAACUGCCGGUACCUUGACGGUACCUAACCAGAAAGCCACGGCUAACUACGUGCCAGCCGCCGCAGUAA